rnacentral:rRNA from 1 species
CCCGCUGAACUUAAGCAUAUCAAUAAGCGGAGGAAAAGAAACCAACAGGGAUUGCCCUAGUAACGGCGAGUGAAGCGGCAACAGCUCAAAUUUGAAAUCUGGCCUAGCCCGAAUUGUAAUUUGUAGAGGAUGCUUUUGGUGCGGUCCUUCCGAGUUCCCUGGAACGGGACGCCAUAGAGGGUGAGAGCCCCGUACGGUUGGAUACCAAUCCUUUGUAAAGCUCCUUCGACGAGUCGAGUAGUUUGGGAAUGCUGCUCUAAAUGGGAGGUAAAUUUCUUCUAAAGCUAAAUACCGGCCAGAGACCGAUAGCGCACAAGUAGAGUGAUCGAAAGAUGAAAAGCACUUUGAAAAGAGGGUUAAAUAGCACGUGAAAUUGUUAAAAGGGGAGCGCUUGUGACCAGACAUUUACCUUUCGGAUCAUCCGGUGUUCUCACCGGUGCACUUCGUUUGGUUGAGGCCAGCAUCGGUUUUCGUAGGGGGAUAAAGGUUUUAGGAACGUAGCUCCUCGGAGUGUUAUAGCCUAAUUCGUAAUACCCUUAUGGAGACCGAGGUUCGCGCUCUGCAAGGAUGCUGGCAUAAUGGUCAUCAGCGACCCGUCUUGAAACACGG